UACGAAGGGGGCUAGCGUUGCUCGGAAUCACUGGGCGUAAAGCGCACGUAGGCGGAUUCUUAAGUCGGUGGUGAAAUCCUGGAGCUCAACUCCAGAACUGCCUUCGAUACUGAGAGUCUUGAGUUCGGGAGAGGUGAGUGGAAUUCCUGGUGUAGCGGUGAAAUGCGCAGAUAUCAGGAGGAACACCGGUGGCGAAGGCGGGUCUCUGGGCCGAUACUGACGCUGAGGAGCGAAAGCGUGGGGAGCGAACAGG
rnacentral:rRNA from 1 species